UACGUAGGAUGCAAGCGUUGUCCGGAAUUAUUGGGCAUAAAGAGCGCGCAGGCGGUCUGCCAAGUCAGAUGUGAAAGAGGCCGGCUUAACCGGCAAGGGUCAUUUGAAACUGACAGACUAGAGUGCAGCAGAGGAUAGCGGAAUUCCCGGUGUAGUGGUGAAAUGCGUAGAUAUCGGGAGGAACACCAGUGGCGAAGGCGGCUAUCUGGGCUGCAACUGACGCUGAGGCGCGAAGGCUAGGGUAGCAAACAGG
rnacentral:rRNA from 1 species